CUUCACAAAAGAAACAUUACCAGUGUUGGGUAUAGACGCCGCUCGUACUUCAUAUCACAGGAGGCGCCGCGUUAUCGUACUGGACGUACGUACGUGUGUACAGGUAUACGGUGUACAAGAUAUGCACACGCAAUAAUCGUCUGCCCGGCGCCCACGAUAAGUUGCUCGCGAAGUUUGAGAAACAACGCGGAAUAAGAAACUAAAACACCCAAACUGCUAGGCUGAGCUUACUCUUCCUUCAUCACAGGAAAUAAAGAGUGACAAUUUCAUGUACUGAUUGAAUGAAGAGAACGGUCAAUACAAGCAAUGCGGAUACAUGUAGUAGACGUGUGAUCAUUGGGAACUAGGAACAUAUAGUGACAGAAGGUUCAUCAAGUGUAUCAUAGCGAGCAUGGAGAACAACAGAUCUGCAUCUAAAAUGGCGGGCUGCAUCCAACGCCUUGCUCAGACUGUUGCCAGGUGCCUAUUGCUGUGGCAACUGGCUCUAACAGUCGUAACAUUGGCCGACAGGUACCCCGUCUUUGAGGAAGUGUACCAGCCAGAGAACAAUCUCAUCAAGUUGAAGAACAUGCUUCUGGAUCAGAACACCAGCGCGUUGUACGUCGGCUCUGUCAAUCACCUUUACAAACUGUCACCAGAUCUGGGCAUACAGGCGACCAUUGAAACCGGGCCUCGGCAGGACAAUCCGGGCUGUAUUGCCCCUCCGGUUGACUGCGAUUAUGAGAGGACCACGACAGACAACAUCAACAAGCUCCUCGUUAUUGACCAGGAUCGCUUGUUUGUCUGCGGGAGUAUAUACCAGGGAAGUUGCGUCAUUCGGAGGCUCUCGGACCUGGGGCUUCUGGGUAAUGACAGCUAUCAAGAAAUCGCCGCAAACACUCCGGAUGGAACGUCGGUUGCCUUUGUAGCCCCCGGACCACUAGGUACAGAUGUGCUCUAUGUUGGAACAUCCUACGGGCAAUGGAUUGACAAAGCCGUGCCAACAGUAUCCAGUCGAGUUUUGCCAGUGGAGAACACCGGCAGCGAUCUCUUUGAAAUAUUGGAAGACGCCAACAAUUUUUUAGAAGCAGAAAUACAGAUUCCUUCAGAUUUUAUCACAAACAAUGGGUUCAACAUUGACUACCUGUAUGGCUUCUCAAAUACCAAAUUUAGUUACUUUGUGGCCGUACAGCCAAAGGACCCAGAACAUAUUCAACCCACCUUCUAUACCAAAAUCGCCAGAAUAUGUCAACAAGAUAUAGCGUAUUACUCCUACAUAGAGUUGCCAUUAUCCUGUAAGCAAGGCGACACAGAUUACAAUGUCGCACAGUCGGCGUAUGUGGCUACCAUAGGAUCAGCCCUGGCCUCAGGUAGUGGUUUUGAGGUUGGCGAGAAGGUUUUGUUUGUGACAUUCUCUGAAUCAAGAGUCGAUGAGAUUGCACCCACUGAGUCCUCUGCCAUCUGUAUGUAUUCCAUCAAGAGGAUUAACGAACAGUUCAACGAUCGAAGGAAGGAGUGUGCUUCUGGAGUGGGUACGACGGACAUCCCAUGGCUUCGCAGCACACAGUGUCCCGUCUCUCAAAAUCUGGUGGAUAGAAUUAACGCAGAAGGAACAGAAUACUGCCACGAUCAGGACUUCAUUCGUCCCCUUGGUGGAAACACUCCCAUUGCAGCCCAGGCAAUCUACACCGAUAACUCCAUCCUGUCGGCCAUUGCUGUCACUGCGCAUCUUGACAAGACUGUCAUCUUCCUUGGAGAUCAACUUGGUCACCUAAAGAAAUUGUGGGUGCUGUCACACUCGGAGGCCGUUCUGUAUGAAGAAGAGGCCAUUCUUAGCGGCGACCAACGACCCGUGGUCAGGAACGGAAUCAUUUUCAGCCCGGAUAAGAACUUCUUUUACUUCAUGACAGAGAGAAAGAUCCAUAAGAUUCCUGUGGAGGACUGCUCCGCUCACACAACCUGUGAGGAUUGCCUGGGUGUUGGCAACGGUGUAGGAGAUCCCUACUGUGGCUGGUGUUCACUCCAAAAGAACUGCACAAGACGGAGUCAGACCGAGUGCGCCGGGUCCGAAGACCCUUCCAAUCUACGCUGGCUGGGCAAACUGGACCAGUGCAUCGCCAUCCUAUCCGUGGAGCCACCCAACACACCCAGCACCAGAGCGCAAGAGUUGACGCUGAAAACCAGAGGCCUACCCCAACUGGAUCCAACCACUGACUUCGUCUACAAGUGUAAGUUUGGAAAUCUGCCUAUGCAGCCUACUACGGUAGACUUCACAACCAACACGUCCUCGGUCCGAUGCUUGACACCCCCUAGUGACCAACUGCCGUCAACAGUGCAAGGUUUCCUGCGUGUGGAGCUUUCCAUCCACGCCACGGAGACGAGCCUAGACAUAGUCAGCACCGACUUUGACUUCUACGACUGCAGCACCUUCACCAGCUGCAUGGAAUGCGUAGGCAAUGAGUACAAGUGUGACUGGUGCAUCUUCCAGAACAAGUGCAUCGGCAACUCCUCAUCCUGUGAUCCCAAUGGAAUUGUCACCAAACGAGAGGGUGAACCUAACGGGGAGAUGGCCUGCCCUCGUAUUGUGAAUGAUGGCCAGGAGAUCCUCAUACCAGUGGGAGUCAGCAAGAGGUUCAGUGUGCCUGUUGCCAACCUGCCAUUACCAAAGGAUGAUGCAGGCUACAAGUGCGUCUUGGAAUACGAGGACAGCACACAAGUGGCACCGGCCAACCGAGUCAGCGAAACUAGCCUGGAAUGCCAGCCAAAACAGUAUGAUUACACCACUGAUGAGAACGAUUUGCCGGUAGUUCUAACAGUGACUUGGGGCAGCGACUAUAAGAUUGACAACCCCGACGACCUCUCUGUUAACCUGUACAAGUGUGACGUGAAGCGUCCCAAUUGCGGGGACUGUUUGGCCGGGCCCGACAAGUACCAGUGUGGGUGGUGUCAUACAAUAGGCAGUCUGACGUCGGGUGACGUAUGCAGUCUAGAGUCGGAGUGUGGUAACACCUGGCUGAGCGGCGAUGCUCUCUGUCCCCAUGCCACCAUCACUGAUUUCUCUCCCAAGAGUGGCUACAUAAGAGGCGGCACCAACCUAACCAUCACGGGCACCAACCUGGGCCAGAAGGUGGAAGACAUUCGCAGCGUGACCGUAGCGGGGACAAACUGUGCCAUCAACGAGGGCUAUGUCGUAGCAACACAAGUGGUGUGCUCCACCCAAGCCUCGUCUCAAAGGGUAGGUGAGAUAGUGAUCAUCAUUGGGAGCGGUAAUCAAACGGACUCAGAGGAGCCAGUCAAGGCUACAUCGGAGGAACCAUUCAGCUAUGUGGUGCCAGAGCUGAGCUCGAUGUCUCCAGCGUUUGGCCCAGCUUCAGGAGGAACCGUCGUCACCCUCACUGGCAAGCAUCUGGAUGCAGGCACAGAUGUCAUUACUGUCAUAGGGGGCCCUGCCUGCCAACUUAUAAGUCGAUCUUUGAAUGAGUUGGUGUGUAAGACACCCAGUGGAUCUAUCGGCACAUUUCCAGUACAAAUGCUAUUUGAUGGUGAACCGAGCGACGCAAGUCUGGAUUUCCAGUACAAGCAAGAUCCGGCUAUCUCUAGUCUGAAUCGCUACAAGAGCAUCAAAAGUGGUGGGCUAGAAAUCAAGGUGGUGGGAACCAAUCUGAAUGUGAUACAGAACCCCAAGAUACAGUUCACUAUCAACAACGAGACCAACAUCACCUUGGCUUGCAACAUCCAGACCCCGACCUCCAUGACCUGCCCUUCCCCGGACGUCAGCCCCUACGCGGUCCAGGCCGUGCCCAAGGCCAAGUACGGCUUUGUCCUGGACGGGGUCCAGAACUUCACCACCCUGAAGGACGUGACCGUGGUCCAGCCCUUUGAGUUUGUGCCCAAUCCCCAAUACUUCAAGUUUGAGGACGGCAUCAAGAAGUUGUUGCUGGAUCAGCAGACAAUCAUCCUGGAAAUUCAGGGUGAGAACCUGACCCUCAUUACCUACAUGGAGGGAGACGUCAACGUGACAAUAGGCGACGCAGUCUGUAAGGACGUGACUCUCAUUACCAAUAGGUUGACGUGUUACCCGCCGCCCACACAGCCGCAAAGCAAGACGGGAACCGAAUUCCCUGAAGUUGUGGUUUACCAUGGUAACCUUAACUUCACCAUCGGCCAGCUGGAGUAUGUGGGUGAGGACUUCCUAGUCUUCAUCCUGAUCGGUGUAGGCAUCUUCUUCAUCAUUGUCAUCAUCGUCUUCAUCUUGUGUAUCUCCUAUCGCAAGGCCUUUGCCAACGACACCAUCGUCAGGCAGAUGGAGGCGCAGCGGGACCAGCUGGAACUACAGGUGGCACAGGAGUGCAAAGAAACAUUUGCCGAGUUGCAGACAGACAUGACCAUCUUGACAGGCGAUCUAGAGGCCAUACCUUACAGGGAGUACCACAAGUACUGCAUCAGGACUCUCUUCCCUGACCAACCCAACCACUGUGUGCUCAAGGAGCUGGCACUUGCAGGUGCCAGCAAGAACCAAGUCGAGCAGGGCCUGGUGAUGUUUGAGCAGCUGGUCAGCAACAAGCAGUUCCUGCUGACCUUCAUCCGCAGCCUGGAGGCCCAGAAGGGAUUCACCCAGAAGGACAAGAGCAACGUGGCUUCCCUGAUCAUGGUGGCCCUGCAGGGCAAGAUGGACUACUCCACGUCCAUCCUCAAAGUCCUGCUCAAGGAUCUGAUUGAGAAACACGUUGAGAAGGACAGGGCUCGGCUACUCAUGAGGAGGAAUGAGUCAGUCGCUGAGAAGAUGGUCAGCAACUGGCUGUCCUUCCUCCUCUACAACUUCAUCCGUGAGAAGGCCGGCGAGCCGCUCUUCAAGCUGUUCUACGGUAUCAAGCAGCAGAUGGAGAAGGGACCGGUGGACGCGAUCACCGGGGAAGCCCGCUACGGACUGAGUGAGGUCAAGGUCAUCAGACAGCAGAUCAACUACACUGUCAUGACCAUCAACGCCAUCGGCCUGAGCAAGGAUGCAGGGCCAGUCCAGGUCAAGGUCCUGGACUUUGACACCAUCUCCCAGGUCAAGGAGAAGAUCUUAGAUGCGCUGUACAAGACGACGCCUUACAGCCACAGACCGCCCAGGGAGGAAUUAGACCUGGAAUGGAAAGAAGAAGGUCGGAUCUUACAGGAUGAUGAUUGUAAGACAGAGGGAGAAUGGAGAAGACUCAACAUGCUCUGCAACUAUCCAGGGAUUGUUGAUGGUGCUACAUUAGCACUGGUUCCCAAGCAGGGAUUCACCAUGUCCAUAUACUCAAAUUCCAAACACUUUGCCAUGCCAGCAGCCAAUAGCCCCGCCCGUUCCGUGACCACACCCAUGCUGUCGCCCGACGUGGACAUCAACGGCACCAAGCUGUGGCAUCUGGUCAAGCCGUCAGACUCGGACUACCACAAGUCUGGGGACAAGGUGCACAAGAUGAUGGCAGAGAUCUACCUGCCCAGGCUACUGACUACCAAGGGUGUGCUCCAGACAUUUGUGGACGAGCUGUUUGAGAUGAUCUUCAGCGUCAAUCACCGUGGCAACACCUUACCCAUCUGCAUCAAGUAUCUCUUUGAUCUCCUUGACGACCAGGCAAGACAUCACAACAUCCAGAAUCAGGACGUGGUCCAUUCCUGGAAGAGCAACAGCCUACCGCUGAGAUUCUGGGUGAACCUCAUCAAGAACCCAGACAUCAUCUUUGACAUCUACAAGUCGGAGACAGUGGACGCCUGCCUGUCCAUCAUCGGUCAGACCCUGAUGGACGCUUGCUCCGUCUCGGACCAUCAUCUGACCAAGGAUUCAUCCUCCAGUCGACUGCUGUAUGCCAAGGACAUACCCAAGUACAAGCAAUGGGUGGGCAGGUAUUUUGAGGACAUCAAAGCCAUGCCUGCCAUCAGUGAUCAAGACAUGAGUGCAAUGCUUUCUGAACAUUCCCACGCCCACCAGUAUGACUUCCACACCCACACAGCCCUGAAUGAGCUCUACUUCUACUAUGCAAUCACCUACAAGAAACAGAUCAUUGAGGACCUGGAAGAAAACGACUACCCCAAUCUGGCCGAGAAGUUUAGCACACUCUGUGAUCAACUCAACAACACAGUGUAGAGGGACAGUCAACGGUCUCACCACAGGGGGCUGCAGGUAGGGCACUUAGGAUUUGACCCAAGUCGUGCAUGGAUUGGAGCAACUUUUUUUUAAGAGAGACGUCAGCAUGGACGUGAGCUCAGACAAAACACAUGCAGAGACUUGGUCAAGUCUAACAGUGGGGCCUGCAGGAUCCAGCACCAGACACCGGCCUUGUCAACUGGUACCCGUGCUGACUUUGUCCGGCACACCCAAGUUACCCAUCAAUUGUUUAUAGACACUAUUGGUGUUAAAUGAGUCUUGGUGUGCAGUCAAAUGCAUACAAAAGAUGGUUUGUGAUUGGACAUUAUUGUUUGCUGUAAAUUGGUUUUCGUGCUCAAGAAUUUUUAUGAUAAAUGCUUUUGGAAUAUGCCUUGAAAUGUGUUGUAUUAUUCUGACUUGAAAUGGUCCAAAAUUGUCGUCUGUUGCUCAUGCUCUUUUUGUCGUUAUAGCACUCGAUGUGGAAAAUAUGAACUUUUUAGAGAGAUGUUGACUGUUCCAUGAAUUGUAUGUGUUUUGAUUUUUGUAUGGUUUUUCUUUUUGGUGAUGGUGCUUUGUAUGUUGCCAUGGACACCAGUAGCUGUAAUAAUUCAUAAUCUGGUCCUUGUCUUGUAACUAUUGUAACGAACAACUGUGUUUUGUGACAAAGAGCAAAUCUGAACUUCGGAUGAUUGUUUUAGCUUCCCUGCAACUGCAGUCACAGAUAAAUUGAAUCAGACUACUCUCCAAACAAUUGUUAUUAAUGUGAAGACAUAGUUACCAGCAAAUCUACACCUUGGGUUAAAUGGAAACCGUUUAUAAAUAGACUAAGAUAGUUAUCAAUGAAACGAAGUAUGGGACACAAUACAUCAAUACUAAAUUGGCAUCCGUCUGUAAUGACAAAAUUGCAAACUGUACAUAUGCUUCUUAUUCGAAUUACCCCUUAUUUUUUUUAUUCAGUUGCUGUAGAACAAUUUAGGAUUUCUAUGGAUCAGUGUCACUGCUGAGAUUUCAGACGGUCAAAUUCAAUGUCUAGAACAUUCCUCGUGUUCUCUGUAUGUUGUAUUCUAUGUGGUAGGCGAGCAUAACGUGAGCAAAAAAUAAUAACAAAGUAUGUUUAAUGUGAUCAUCAUUGUAAAAUAGUGCUUAUAAACUUGAUUCUAAAUUCUUAUAUACUGGCAAAGUGUACAUAGAUUUUUCUGCGUGUGAUUGGGGAAUUUUUUCCCCCCAGGAAAUGAGCCUGUUUUGUUUUUUUAAAAAUAAAUUGGCAUUUUUUUCUGGGAGUUGUUUAAUAAUACAAGAGAUGAUGCAAUUAUAAAGAUAUUAAAAAAAACAAAAAUAAUUGUAUAACCCAAAGCAUUGUAUUUAUGGGUGUAUUAAUGACGUAGUGUAAUGAAGUAGAGGCAGGACUGACUAAGGACUGUGGUUUGUUCUUUGUUAACGUGUUGAGAUCUGUUCAUAUUUGGCGCAAAAAGUGAACAGGAAGUAUUUGCACUACAAAUUCACAAAGAUUGCACAUUUUUUCACCAACGGCAAAUUCCGCAGAGAACGUGUUUCCUGACGUCGAAUUUACCUUACGUUUGCAUUCGCGUGAAGUAUGAAGUGGGCUUACAUGCGGAUCGGUGCAAAUUGGGCUUGUAUGGGCUUCAGUCAAUGUUUAGGGCCAGGCUUUGGGUGCAGUGUUAAAAGCCCAUUGGCCUGAACUUGGCCUGAACCGUGGUGAGAUUCGCUGCUAAGCGUAGAUUUCUGGAGUCGUACAUAAAAAUUGGGGGCUGAUUUCAAAUAGCUUCUCUGUAAAUUUCUGCUAAGCAAAGUACACACGGUUUCAUUAAAGCAAAAUUUAAAAAACUGUCAGUCGUUGAGCAUGUUGUAGAGACUUAAUUCUAUACCGUCAAGUUCGUUGAACAAACUUUAAUGCUAUCGUAGUGAUUAGUUGAGUAGUCUACCACCGAUGACAAUGUAUACAAAUAAAGAAUUGUUAAUAACAUUUAUACUAUUGCUGUAUAGUCACAAAAAAAGAUGUACAUUUUCUUGUGUUUGUCACUUGUGUUGCAUAUACAGACCAAGUCUGACGUAGCGCUUUUUUACCAAUUCAAAAUAUCUUGCUUUCUGUACCUUGCUUUUUUUUUUCUUUUUUUUUCGUGGGAACAAUUUUUUUCUCUUUUCAUAUAGCAAGUUUUAUCGUCUUUCAGUUAUGUAGUUUCACAAUUAUACAUGUAUAAGCAAUAAUUGAUUUUUUGAAAUAUUGACGUUAUGUGACCCAUAUGGGGCCACUUUUAUGCAUGCUUAGAUAAAAGGAAUUUGUGCUUGUUUUCUUUUUUGUUCCAAUUAGUUUUAAUAAGCCCUAUUUCAUAAAUAAUUCUCUGUUGGCUCUAAUUACAAUAAAAGAGGAUGCCUGUAAGAAACUAAAGUUGCUGUCACAAUCAUGAAACUUAUUUUAACAGUUCCCAGUUGUUCUCGGAUACUUAAAUUUGAAUUUGGUUUGUUCCUCAUUCCUCGUUUUUCUGUGUUUGUGCAAAAUUCACCAAAUUGUCAAAGCAACAUAACUGGACAACCAAUCUGUAAGUAAAAUAUUUUGGUCACAGGUUUUUCAGAUAUUUUUGGUGAACACUCUAGCUUUAAUGCAUUUACAGAACAUCUGUGUAGCACCUGUAAAACUUGUCAGAAGUGAGGACAAAAAUAAUAAUAUCAUAAUGCAAUGUUUAAAAGUUAGUUAAAAUUGACAGCUGUUUUGUAGGGUCAUGUGUGUGCCUGUGUACACUUCAUAUGUAUAAGUCUGGUUUUAGUAGGUCUGUCAAGAUAUUAAAAGCUACUAUGCCAUUUUGUCAAAUAAAUUUUUACAAUGUACAGAAAUCAACAGACAAUUUUGAAACACUUGUUCAGAGAAACUUGUGAUUCUGUGAUUAUAUUUCCACAUGAACAAAGAGAUAUUUUGCAUUAGUCUACCCAAAAAGCAAUUGAUAGAAGAAAAAUGUCGGAAGGUAUAACGUCCUUAAAAGUGUUUGUGUGCUAAACAAACUGAAUAUGUAUGGUUGGGGUGUACUGUUUCGCAUUGGAAGUACACUUGCAUGUGGAUACGUGUAUAUGUUUAUGCCAUGUCUUUAAGAUCUAUAUAAGGGAUCUAACAUUUCGCUGUUCCAAAAGUGUAUGGUAAAAUAGGUGUGUAUUGUCUGACUGACUUCUCAAAAUUGUCUAAAUGCCAAACUUAUUUUACAUACAUUUUGUAUAUAAAUCAGCAAUUUUAGUUGUUUUUUUAACAAAUGCAUGUGGGGUUGAUUUUUGUUAGGUGUGGGGUCACUUUUUUUAACCUUGGGAACUGUUGCCAUGGGAACAUCUGUACCAAUGGUCAGUGAGUAUUUUUUUGGUUUGUGUAUUGUUUUAAACAAAUAUGAUUUUCUUUCUUUCUUUUGUUAUGAAAAAUGAAAAAUGGAUAAGUCAUGAUUUUGGUGACUAAUAAAUUGUCGGUUUCUAAUUAGAGCUGAUUUGUGAAAAUAC
rnacentral:misc_RNA from 1 species